AAAAAGACAGCCCACAGAACAGGACAUAUUAUCCCAAUAAGGGCCUGAUAUCAAGAAUAUAUUUAAAAACUCUUAAUAAAAAAAUCCAAUUUAAAAAUGGACAAAGCAUUUGAAUACAUUCUCCAAAGACAUAAAUGUCUUAAAAAGCACAUGAGAUGUAUAACAGAAUUCAUCAUCUUAGGUAAUGGAAAUCAAAACCACCAUGAGAUACCACUUCACAACCACCGAGAUGGGUAAAUCCCCAGUAUUGGAGAGUGACAUGUUGGUGAAUUGGGGAAAACUGAAAUCUUUAUAUACAGCUAGUGGGAGGGGAAGUAAAAUGGUACAGUUGCUUUGGAAAAGUCUGGCAGUUCCUCAGAAAAGUUAAGCAUAAAAUCACCGUACGACCCAGCAAUUUCACUCCUAGGCAUAUACCCAAGAAAAUUGAAAACAUUUUUACAAAAAACUUAUGGAAGAAUCUUCAUAGUGGCACUAUUUGUAAUAGUAGAAACAGCCCAGGUGUCAACAGAUGAAUGGAUAAAACACGAACACAAUGGAAUAUCACUCAGCUGUAAAAAGGAGCAAAAGAACAUGUGCUCCAACUCGAAUGAGCCUUGGAUGUGAAAGAUGCCGGCGCCAAAGGUCACGCACUGUGUACGAGUCCCUUCACAACAGGUGUCUAGAAUGGGCAAAUCCAGAGAAACGGAAGUCGGCUGGCGAUUGCCAGGGGCUGGCAGAAGGAGAAGGUGCUGACUCUUAAUGGGUCCAAGGUUUCUUUGGCCGGUGGUGAAAAAGUCCCGGAACUACAUACUAGUGGUUGAUUGUUGUGCAGCUUUGAGAAUACGCGAAAAAGACCGAAUUGUAUCCUUUAAUAUUGGGGCUUUUAUGGUUUGUAAAUUGCUUUUCAAUUUAGAAAGGAACUCAAGAACUACUUUGGUGUUAUUUAGAAUGUGAAAGAGACAGUAUCCAAAACAUGUUACUAUGUAACUCACAUCCCCAGAGAGUUAAACUUCAUUAAAGGAUGUGUUUGAGCCUAGGAGACACAACGAUCCUAUACUAUAUAUUAGAGCCCAUCUUACUGAUUUCUAUUUCACAUAACAACCAUAUUCAGGGAAAACGGACAUGUAAACGUGAGCUGAAUGCUAUGCAGAGGCACAUUCCUCUUACCCGGAUGGUCUUUAGUGGUGCAGUAAGAGAUGCGGUCAUAGCAACGUUAGUUGAAUUUCCAUGGCAACAGGAAUUUGGCACCUCUGAUGAGUUAGAUCUCCCUGCACAGCUCCUAGCAGGGUUGCCCAUUUCUGUGUGGUGUCUGUACGUUCUUGCUGUGGAAAUAAGUGAUAGCACCUGCACAAACACUUGCCUGGAAAUGCGCAUGAAGCUGGUGAAAGCAGAGGACAGGCGAGAGAGAAGCACGGCUCAGCCCUGGCAAAGGAGACGGUUAUUUCAAAUGCGGGAGAUUCAGGAACCACGAUCCUUGGGAAGACUGGUGAUGUCUGUAGAUCUCACCUCUGUCGGGUUGUCUCUGUGCAGUCAGUUACCGGAGCCGUCAGAACCGCAUGUGUUGGUAUCGGUGUCAUCACUCAAUGCUUCUGAAUUUUCCUGGUGCUAAGGAUGACUGCAUGUGGCAGAAGUAAAGUGUUGACUUAGCGCAGAUCAUCAGCUCCCAAUUCUUUUCUAUCAAGGGGGGCAGGGUUAGAAACCCCCCCCCCCAAUCUUAUAAGAACUGGGAUCUGAUGAUCUGUGCUGUCAAGAGAGGUAGGGUUAGAACACCCCACUCCCCAUUCCCAUUGUUGAAAAUAAUUGACUUGGGAGGGUUUUUACUUCUAAGAUUAAAGCCGUGCAUUUUUGGAGCCUGGGCUGUCAGCUGUGGUGGCUGGGGAAUGCUGGGGCUGCGGUCAUCUGGCCGCUGGCAGCUCUGCUGGUGGGUCCUGUCUCUUUGACACCGUUCAUUUCUGAAGCUUGCUUUCCUCGGUGUUGGAAGUAGCAGCACUGGAGGAAUGGCCUCCUUCCUACAGCGAAGCUCUGCCAGGAGAGGAGAAGACACGGAGCGUCUAUUGAAGGAUGUGAUGUUUGGGGCACCGCACCAUGUGUUCUGCUUCUCAGCGGUGCCUCCUGGUUGAUGUUAGUAUCACCUGGCAUUGCCCAGGAGGUAACUUGCAGAUGCCACACUGAUGGAAAGCUGCAGCAGCGUGGUUCGAGUCCAGAGCCAGCUGGAGCUUAUCAGCAAGGUCAGGCUGGACACACAUGCUCCACCCAGUGGGUGGGUCUGUGGAGCUGGGGUGGCGUGAGAGCCAGAGAGUCCUGGUGGAACCCUGCCAGAUGACAGGAAAGGGGCCCAUGAGGAGAGGAACCAGUGGAUUCGAGACAGGAAGUGGAAGGAGCUCAGGAAGGAGUGAGCCGUCUCAGGGUGGGAGGCUCAGGAGCCAGCAGGCGAGUGGGAUGUGGCUUUGGGGUGCUGCUGCUUUGGUGAGGGGCCUUCGGUGACUUUUCUGAGUGCAGUCAGUUGUAGGGGUGGGUGCCGGCUCCCACAGAAGAGCCAAGCGUUCUGCAGGAGACCAACGUGUGCACUGGGAAUUCCCAGGUGCGUGUCCUGGCACACGGCCCAGAGGCACCUGACAAGGCUCAGUGCACCAGGCACACAGUGGACUGUUGGUGCCUGAUCCAACGAGGGGAGUGAGUGAGGGCCGAGACACAGGUGCGGGGAUGCAUGGAACGGGGGUACAGUCAGGUGGAGAGUCAUGCUGUGGGGUCCGGGAGAGACGGGUUCGAGAAUAAAUGGGACGGGGGUAUAUUUCGGUGGAGAGUUCAUGCUGCUGCGGUCUGGGAAAUGUGUUUUUGCUUCUAUCUGAGAAACUGUACCUGAGUGUGUCUGUGCUUUGACAUUUAAUCUGUGCACUAUCCUCCGCAGGGUGCAUAUCUCUGUGGCAGAGGAUACCCCGGGCACAGUGGAUGACAGUGGCUGUGGCUGGACUCGGGGCCUGGAACUCGGGGAUAGAGUACAAACUCUAGAAGCAAAAUGAACAAAUAAAGAACUUGAGGUCAGCAGUGACGGGUGUAGGAUCACACUGAAUCUCGUGUGUUUUGCUGUCUGUGUCACUACAGAGUGUAAACGGGGACCAUUUUUAGCUUAAGGUAAAAUAGGUAACAGGAAACACUAUGGAAUGGGCACGAAGGCGCGCCCCUCAUUACCACGUGUUACAGCCAAGUCUCUGCCUCUUGGGGAAGGAUCUGUUCUGUGGGGAGACUAGACGUUGAUGAUUUCUGGACAUGUGAAGAGAAAUGGCCUCCGAGAAGUGUGGCUUUGGCUGGAGCACAUCAGACGAAAGUUAGCGUGGCGUGGAGUUGCCACAGUGCCCCUCACACCUGCUGCUUCUCUCCUCUCCUCUCACCCCUGGCCCUGGCCCUGGCCCUGGCUCUGGCUCUGGCUCUGGCUCUUACCAAGGGAGGAAAGUUCAGCUCCAGCUGAACCCCACACAGGGCUGUGGGUCUCUAGGGCAGGUGCUGCCUUCUCCUGAACAGGCUGUGGCAGAGGAGGGUCUGGCCGUACUUGAGCUGUGAGCGAUGCUCUCAGAGAUCCAGCAUCCUGCAAACCCAGGUGCUGAAGGUCCCUUCUCCACCGUCCUGCAGAGAGAGGGGUCUGUUCCUGCUUCCCCUCAACCUGAGCUGACUUCUUGUCUGUUCUGUACACCUAUCUCUUAAGAGCAGUUAUUGUUAAAGAUAAUCCUCUACCACACAAACACCAGAAGGUGACAGUCUGGGAGGGUAGAUGGGGCUGGAAGAUGGUUUCCUGAAUAAUAGGUUCAGUUUCCUGUUUUGGUGUCACUUGACCCAAGGCCCCCAGAUAAUUGAAAUAUUGUUAACAAAACACCCAUGUUGUAUCUGAGUUUUUUUUUUUUUUUUU